rnacentral:rRNA from 1 species
CCUACGGGAGGCAGCAGUAGGGAAUUUUCGUCAAUGGGCGCAAGCCUGAACGAGCAAUGCCGCGUGAACGAGGAAGGUCUUCGGAUCGUAAAGUUCUGUUUAAGGGGAAAAAGAGCGGAGAGAGGAAAUGGUCUCCGAUUGAUAUUACCCUUCGAGGAAGUCACGGCUAACUACGUGCCAGCAGCUGCGGUAAUACGUAGGUGGCGAGCGUUAUCCGGAUUGAUUGGGCGUAAGGGGUGCGUAGGCGGCCUGUUAAGUCUGGAGUGAAAGGGAGCGGCUCAACCGGUACAGGCAAUGGAAACUGGAGGGCUAGAGAGCAGGAGAGGUAGGUGGAA